GGGCGAAACGGGUCGGUUUGAAUUUCUCAAAUUGGGCUUUCGGGCUUACAAGUUAGCCCAAACUAAUCCCAGCCCAUCUUUUCUCGUCUUCCUCAGGUUCCAUGGCCGUCUUCUGUGGACAGUGAUAAACUCCAAAUAAGAGAAAGUUCUGGUCUUUCUCAAGUACUAUUGUCAUUGGAAUACUUUGUUUGAUGAGACCAAUCAGGCUUCCCAGCCCGCCAAGCGGCCGGUUUCCGGGCACGCCUGAGAUGUUUGACAGUGGAUUACACGGUGUGAUUAGACGGGCGGUUAUAAUCGGUAAUGGAUUCGCGGGCGCAGAGAAUCAGUGUCUUGGCUUGGUUCGCGCUCUUGGCCUCUCCUCUUGCUAUUCGCUAUACCGAGUUAUUAGGCCAAGAGGAGGCAUUAACAGGUGGCUUCGUUGGCUUCCAGUUUCUGUACAUAAAAGUGUAGACUAUCUAAUAAGGAGUAUUUAUGGAGAUAAUUUUAAAUAUGAAGGAAAUGCGAAUGGCCAAAAAAUGGUGCCUUCUUCAACUGAAAGAACUGGAUUGUUAGAUAUAUUAGAAGCAGAUGCCAAGCGGAUUGCAAGAAUGGCUCGUGAUACGUUUGAUGAGAAUGGUCCACUAUUGGUAGUAGCAUCUGGCCGAGAUACCAUUUCAGUAGCAAGCUCCAUAAGGCAAUUAGCUCCAAAGAAUGUUUUUGUUGUUCAGAUACAACAUCCAAGAUCACACCUGAAUAUGUUUGAUUUAGUUAUAACUCCUUGCCAUGAUUAUUAUCACUUGACUCCUGACGGUCAGAAGCAAAUCCCCUGGUUUCUCAGAAGGUGGAUAACUCCACAUCACCCUCCUGAUAGGCAUGUGUUUCUUACUGUGGGAGCUCUUCAUCAGGCUGAUUCUCCUGCACUGAGAAGUGCAGCUUCUCUUUGGCAUGAUGAGUUGGCGCGGCUUCUGAAGCCCGUGCUUGUUGUCAACAUUGGAGGGCCUACUGGCAACUGUGAGUACGGUAUAGAUCUUGCAAAGCAGUUAACAGAUAUGCUGCAGAAAGUGCUUUGGAGUUGUGGAAGUGUUAGAAUAUCUUUUUCUAGAAGAACCCCUGAGAAGGUGUCCAAGAUUUUAGGGAAAGAAUUUGGUAAUAAUCCUAAGGUUUACAUUUGGAAUGGUGAAGGUGCAAAUCCACAUGUGGGGCAUCUAGCUUGGGCUGAUGCUUUCGUUAUCACAGCUGAUUCAGUAAGCAUGUUGAGUGAGGCUUGUAGCACCGGGAAGCCUGUCUAUGUUAUAGGAGCUGAACGGUGCACGUGGAAGUUUGCUGACUUCCAAAAGAGAUUGCAGGAACUUGGAGUGGUUAGACCAUUCACUGGGAAAGAGGAUGUGAGUUGCCAUCUAUCUCACCCUCUGAUUUGCUGCUGCUUUAUUAGAAGAUGCUGAGUGUAUUUAUUCAUAGAAAUCUGCAAUGAAUAGUUUUAAUUUGCUGUCUGCACUAAGAUAUCUGAGACCUGGAGUUAUCCUCCCUUGAAUGACACUGCAGAAGCUGCUCGUCGGGUUAUUAAUGCGCUUGCUGAGCGUGGAUGGACAAUACAAGCAUGAUGCAUUGUUUCAGCCAACAUUAGGCAUGAGCUAUCUUUAUAUUACAAAGCAUAGAAUUGCUUCCUCUCUGAGGCAAUUUUUUGCUGGUAUUUCUAUAUUUACUGAAAGUAGUUAACUUCUAAUCUAACAUGUCUAACUGACACCUAUGUUAAGUAUUUUUCAAUUCAUCUUACCAUACUAGUUUUUUAGUUUGGUGUCAACUAGGAUCUAAUGAAUUCAGAGCUUUACAAUGAAGUAGAAGCAGCAACGCAAAUUCUUUAAAA